AAAAUCCGGUUCACUGUCCGGG
rnacentral:snRNA from 1 species